AGAAUCAACGCUGGCGGCGUGCCUAACACAUGCAAGUCGAACGAGAAAGUGGAGCAAUCCAUGAGUAAAGUGGCGACCGGGUGAGUAACACGUGACUAACCUACCUUCGAGUGGGGGAUAACCUCGGGAAACCGAGGCUAAUACCGCAUAACAUCGCAAGAUCAAAGCAGCAAUGCGCUGGAAGAGGGGGUCGCGGCUGAUUAGCUAGUUGGCGGGUAAUGGCCCACAGGCGAGAUCGGUA
rnacentral:rRNA from 1 species